GACGAACGCUGGCGGCGUGCUUAACACAUGCAAGUCGAACGGAAAGGCCCUGAUUUUGUGGGGUGCUCGAGUGGCGAACGGGUGAGUAACACGUGAGUAACCUGCCCUUGACUUUGGGAUAACUUCAGGAAACUGGGGCUAAUACCGGAUAGGAGCUCCUGCUGCGUUGUGGGGGUUGGAAAGUUUCGGCGGGUGGGGAUGGACUCGCGGCUGAUCGGCUUGUUGGUGGGGUAGGGGCUUACCAAGGCUUUGAAGGGUAGCCGGCCUGGGAGGGUGAACGGCGACAUGGGGACUGCGGGACGCACCAGACGGGUACGGGGGGCAGUGGGGGGGAGCAUGGCACAACGGGCGGGAGCGGGAGAAAGAAACGCCGGGUUCGGGAAGACGGCUUGUGGGGUGAAAAACGCUGUAGCUUGAGACGAAGCGUGAGGGACGGUAAUGAGAAAAGAAGCACCGGCUAACUACGU
rnacentral:rRNA from 1 species